AUUCUACUCCCUCUGUUGCACAAUACAUGCCUUCUAUUUGUCAAAAUAUAUAUGUAUCUAGACAUGUCUUAGUAUAUAGGUACAUACAUUUUUGGACAAAUGGAAGUCAAGUAUUUUGGAACGGAGGGAGUACACA
rnacentral:pre_miRNA from 1 species